rnacentral:lncRNA from 1 species
UGUGUAUAUAUGUGUGAGUAGGUUACAUCAUGCUUGCCAAACAGUUGAAGGGACCAUAGAGGAUCCAAAGAAUUCCCAAGAAGUGUUAGUGGUGGCAAAAGAGGAAAAAUCUUAGUGAUAUAAAAAUAAUUCCUGUCUAAGCAGUUAGGCAAUGACCCUAGCUAGACACAACUUCAGAGUCAAGUCACAGGGUAGAGUUGAGAUGCAUGACUAUAGAUGUUACAGUGGCAAAGAACAGAAACAGGUCGAGAAAGGUUAUUGGGCAGGGCAGGGAGGGAGUGGAGGUGGGGAUAGCAAUUCCAGAUAGAAUCCUGCAUCAGUGGUGAAGACUGAGCCAUGUCGAAGUCCCUGAGCAAGUGAAAGUCCUCUGCCUGUUGAUUGUUUAACACACAUUGGCUGGACACAUUGUAGGUUCUGGUAGCAUAACUAUUGUAAUGCUAGGUGCCCUGUUCUUUGUGAAGUCCUGGCGAGGGUACAAAACUCAUUUUAGUCUGGUGUUUAAUACCUUCUUGGGUCUAGAUUUUUUAAUGUAAUUUUAAUAUAUCCUAUGAACAUAUGUGUCUUAGUUGAUGUCAUAUUGCUGUGAAGAGACACCAUGAUCAUGGCAGCUCUUAUGAAGGAAAGCAUUUAAUUAGGGCUUGCUUAUCGUUUCAGAGGUUUAGUCCAUUAUUAUGAUGACAGAAAGCAUGGUGGUGAGAAGGCAGACAUGGGGCUGGAGAGAGCUGACAUGGCAGGAAGCAGGAAUAGAGAGACUGGGCCUGGCUUGGGUAUCUGAAACACCAAAGAACACCCCCAGUGACAUACUUCCUCCAACAAGGCCACAGAUCCUAAUCAUUAUGAGGUAGUGCCAUUCCUUAAUGACCAAGCCUUCAAGUAUAUGAGCCUAUGGGGGCCAUUUUUAUUCAACUCAUUAUAAUACAGUAGCAGUUUUCUCUGAUAAAUUUAUUGAGUAAGCACUAUUUUUACCUUUAAGAUUAAGUUUUUUUAUCUGCCAAUGCCUCCUGGGUGGUAUCAGACCCAUGAUACUGUCUAUGCAUAGCAAGGUACAGACUCACCCUGACUUUAGCUUUGCAUUUAUAACAAAGUCGACUUAUGGCUAAACAUAGAGUCCCCCAUAUCCACCCCCCCACUACCC